CUCACCACCAUCCCCCGUCCACUUUCCGCCACCUCCGGUCCACUCUCCGCCACCCCCAGUCCACUCUCCGCCCCUACCCAUUCACUCUCCACCCCCACCAGAGGUUUUUUUCUGCCAAUCGAGGCUUUGAUAAUCUGUACAUUGACCAUAGGUGUCAGAAUGGGGAGAUCAAAGCUAUUUUAUUUUUGGAGCAAUGACACUGGAUUUGGAACUCAACAAUUUGUAACUAUUGGAAUGAUCCAAACCUCUCAAAGCUUGUGGUGGAGACUAUAUGUGUUAAUAUACACACAAACAUACGCGUGCCCAACGGCCCAGCUUCAACAGCCAACCCAUCUCCACCAUACUGGACAAUAGCAUUCGAACGCGGGCCGACAGUAACCAACGGCCCAGCCCAAAUGUUUAACCCAGUGCGACCAGCAACUUGUGAUCCGGGACCCGCGCCUCGACCCGGAAUACCGCCUGCACACGCGUCCCCUCCCCCUAUCGACUCGUGGAGGUUAAAAAUGAAUGAUUUUUUUUUUUUUUUUUAACCCUUCCUGAGAUGAAUACGAACUUACUAAAGACAACUACGGUUGGUAAAAGGUUCGUUUUCUCAAUUUAAGUUAAGUUUAGCUAGGAAAUUAGUAUUAUUAGCGAAACAAGAUGGACGUUCUAAUAGGAAACAACUACUUAGCCGA